rnacentral:rRNA from 1 species
UAGUCCACGCCGUAAACGAUGAUAACUCGGUGCUGGCGAUAUAAUGUCAGUGCCCAAGCGAAAGUGAUAAGUUAUCCACCUGGGGAGUACGAUCGCAAGGUUGAAACUCAAAGGAAUUGACGGGGGCCCGCACAAGCGGUGGAGCAUGUGGUUUAAUUCGAUGAUACGCGAGGAACCUUACCUGGGCUUAAAUGCAUAAUGACAGACUGGGAAACCAGUCCUUCUUCGGACAGAAUGCAAGGUGCUGCAUGGUUGUCGUCAGCUCGUGCUGUGAGGUGUCGGGUUAAGUCCCAUAACGAGCGCAACCCCUAUUCUUAGUUGCCAGCGGAUAAUGCCGGGGACUCUAGGAAAACUGCCCGCGCAUGCGGUGAGGAAGGUGGGGAUGACGUCAAAUCAUCACGGCCCUUACGCCCAGGGCUACACACGUGCUACAAUGGUCGGUACAAAGAGCAGCUACCUGGUGACAGGAUGCUAAUCUUCAAAGCCGAUCUCAGUUC